GACGAACCGAGCGAACGUUGUUCGGAAUCACUGGGCUUAAAGGGCGCGUAGGCGGGCUGCCAAGUUUGGGGUGAAAUCCUCCGGCUCAACCGGAGCAGUGCCUCGAAUACUGGCGGUCUCGAGGGAGGUAGGGGCGUGCGGAACUGUGGGUGGAGCGGUGAAAUGCGUUGAUAUCCACAGGAACUCCGGUGGCGAAGGCGGCACGCUGGACCUUUUCUGACGCUGAGGCGCGAAAGCCAGGGGAGCGAACAGG
rnacentral:rRNA from 1 species